GGGUAUAGCUUGGUGGUAGAAUGUGUGCUUAGCAUGCACGAGGUCUUGGGUUCAAUCCCCAGUACCUCCA
rnacentral:tRNA from 1 species